UAAAAGUUAACUCUUUGUAUGGAGUUGGAACAGCGCCCCUAGCGGCAAACGAAGGGAAGCUGUUCCAACUCCAUACAAAUUUGAGUCA
rnacentral:pre_miRNA from 1 species